CCAGAGCUGAGGGCUCAGAGCGGCGGCUGAAAUAAUUCACCCCCCCGCGCCUUCCCCCCCUGCCCCAUGUUGAAAAAGGUCAGCGAUUCAUUUGAAGUUUCAUCACUGCACAUAAGCAGGCGAACACCAUUUCAUUUGCUGCCUUUGUGUGGGCCAGAGGCCCAGCCUGUCGUCUCCUUCCCGGCCUGGGAAUCGACAGCGAGGCCAUCACCCCCUGCAGCCCACCUGCUCUGGAGAGGACUUACAGCAGCAUGUGCAGAUGCUUAUAAGACAGGAAGAUGCCACAGAAGUGGUGGCCCCAGGCAAGG